rnacentral:rRNA from 1 species
UACAGAGGUCUCAAGCGUUGUUCGGAUUCAUUGGGCGUAAAGGGUGCGUAGGCGGCGCGGUAAGUCGGGUGUGAAAUCCCUCGGCUCAACCGAGGAAUUGCGCCCUAAACUACCGUGCUCGAGGGAGAUAGAGGUGAGCGGAACUUAGGGUGGAGCGGUGAAAUGCGUUGAUAUCCUAAGGAACACCGGUGGCGAAAGCGGCUCACUGGAUCUCUUCUGACGCUGAGGCACGAAAGCUAGGGUAGCGAACGGG